rnacentral:ncRNA from 2 species
UUUGAUCUUCGGGAUAGGGUGAAAUUCCCGACUGGCAGUAAAAGCCUGCGAGCCUUAAAAAGCAGAGUUUAUUUCAAGCGUUACUUUUUAAGGCAGAGCUGGUGGAAUUCCGGCGCCAAUAGUUAGAGUCUAGAGGGGAGAAGAUUGUA